AGAGUUUGAUCAUGGCUCAGAUUGAACGCUGGCGGCAUGCCUUACACAUGCAAGUCGAACGGCAGCACGGGUGCUUGCACCUGGUGGCGAGUGGCGAACGGGUGAGUAAUACAUCGGAACGUACCUUAUCGUGGGGGAUAACGCAGCGAAAGCUGUGCUAAUACCGCAUACGCCCUGAGGGGGAAAGCGGGGGAUCGAAAGACCUCGCGCGAUUAGAGCGGCCGAUGCCUGAUUAGCUUGUUGGUGGGGUAAAAGCCCACCAAGGCGACGAUCAGUAGCUGGUCUGAGAGGACGAUCAGCCACACUGGGACUGAGACACGGCCCAGACUCCUACGGGAGGCAGCAGUGGGGAAUUUUGGACAAUGGGGGAAACCCUGAUCCAGCAAUGCCGCGUGAGUGAAGAAGGCCUUCGGGUUGUAAAGCUCUUUUGUCAGGGAAGAAACACCGGCUCUAACACAGUCCGGGAAUGACGGUACCUGAAGAAUAAGCACCGGCUAACUACGUGCCAGCAGCCGCGGUAAUACGUAGGGUGCGAGCGUUAAUCGGAAUUACUGGGCGUAAAGCGUGCGCAGGCGGUUAUACAAGACAGGCGUGAAAUCCCCGGGCUUAACCUGGGAAUGGCGCCUGUGACUGUAUAGCUAGAGUGUGUCAGAGGGGGGUAGAAUUCCACGUGUAGCAGUGAAAUGCGUAGAUAUGUGGAGGAAUACCAAUGGCGAAGGCAGCCCCCUGGGAUAACACUGACGCUCAUGCACGAAAGCGUGGGGAGCAAACAGGAUUAGAUACCCUGGUAGUCCACGCCCUAAACGAUGCUGACUAGUUGUUCGGGAUUUACAUCCUGAGUAACGUAGCUAACGCGUGAAGUCAGCCGCCUGGGGAGUACGGUCGCAAGAUUAAAACUCAAAGGA
rnacentral:rRNA from 1 species